UACGUAGGGGGCGAGCGUUGUCCGGAGUUACUGGGCGUAAAGCGCACGCAGGCGGUCUGUUAAGUUUGGAGUGACAGUUGGUGGCUCAACCACCAAAGUGCUUUAAAAACUGAUAGACUUGAGGGCUUCAGAGGGACACGGAAUUCCGGGUGGAGUGGUGAAAUGCGUAGAGAUCCGGAGGAACACCAAAGGCGAAGGCAGUGUCCUGGGGAGUACCUGACGCUCAGGUGCGAAAGCCAGGGGAGCGAACGGG
rnacentral:rRNA from 1 species